GAGGAUGUAGCUCAGUUGGUAGAGUGCUUGCUUGGCAUGCAAGAAGCCCUGAGUUCAAUCCUCAUUAUCA
rnacentral:tRNA from 1 species